UUCAGAACUGAUGAGAGUUUGUUGCAACUUCUGUCAAAAACCCGGAAGGAGACCCUGAGACUUCAAGAAAUGUGCUCGUUUUAAGUUAUAGUUUGACAGAAUGCAAAUUUACAUGAGAUUACAACAAACACGUCACUGCAAACAGCUACCCUCAUAUGUUUUAAAUAAAAAAAACUUUAUAGUUUGAUCGAAAAUAGUGCAGGAGAAAACGACCCGUACGUAAAGCGGCAACAGGCAACAGCUAGUCAGCUACUAGUACCACACAACACAGCAUGGCAAAGCCAACUAGGAGUGGUGGAUAACAGAACAAACAAGAGAAGAUCUGUUUGUUUAAUGGGACAACCAUCUGGCCAUGUGCAAUGGAAUCUUGGCACCGGUUCUCAUCUCCUCCCAACCCAGCCCAAUGACAGUAUAGCGUUCAUAACAUUAAUUAAGUUGUCACCUAAGAUAAAAAAUGAUGUAGUAAGUAAAUAAAUGAGGAAAAAAAUAAAACCAUUAGACAUGUUUUCUACACAACAUUCAAGAUAUCAUAUGAGAUAAGUAGCAUUAAAUUGAAGUAUGAUAUAGUGAUGUUUGCAUUGAAAGAGUAGUGUCUAAUACUAGUUUCUUAAUGACGUAAAAUUUAUGAAAACUACAUAUAAUAUUAUGGGUUUGAAAUGCCCUAACUAAUAAUAUUCUCCAUUAUUUUUCCAUGCUCACCAAAAGGCGAAACAACACAAAAGCAGGAGCAGAUUAGUUAAUACUACCAUAGCUAGUAAGCACUAAGCACGGACAGUAACCAACCCGUCACUUGUUCAAAAUUAACCAUUUUACAUCAGCUGCAGCGGCAGUAAAAUUCUUAACAGUGCCACCCAAAAAACACAGAGAAGAAAUCCAGCCACUCGCUGAACUACUCCCACAGUCACCCCACACACCAUCAUUCGUCAAAUCAGGAGCAGUUCGCAUACUUGCAUUGCAGUCCAAACACCUCCUCCCCUAUCUUCCAUCUCCAAAAUUUGACAGCGAAAAAAAAAUUGCACAAACUCAUGGGAGGGAGAGGAUUAACAGUUUAACCCUCAUCAGUAACCCGGAAGAAAUCAAGAGCGCUGUACACGUACAUCUACCACUUAGACUUAGUAGGCAGUGAUCAAAACCCAACCUUAAUUAGUCAAGUGAUUAACCAUCACUAACGACGCCAUCUACUGGUGUAACACUUAGUAAACCUCUUCGGGAAUGCUCUGCAGGCCGGGCUCCCACUCCCCGUUCGCCUGCAUCCGCCGCGCCGCCUCCGCCGCCCUCCGCAUGCUGCGCCGCCGGAGCGACUGCAGCCUCUGCUCCGCGCCUGGGCCGGCCCCNN
rnacentral:lncRNA from 1 species